CGCGUGUGGGCAUCCCAGGUCUCUGGGGACAGGGGGCCCGCGUGCGCUGGUGGGCACGGGUCGGGGAAGCUGGACCCUCCCCGGAGGGCUUCCUCCCAGCUCCCUCCUGGCCCCUUUCCAGGCUUUUAAAUCAGACCAAAACAGGAAACUAACCACAGGGACUGGAGGAGCCACAAGGGACGGGACGGAUGCUGCCAUCCAGACCGCAGGGGCGACUGCUCGGAGCUGGGAAGAAAGGACCUCACGCGGGGACCAUCGAGGAAAGGAAUGAAGGGUGUUUCGACAGCCACUGGCUCUCUGAAGCCAUCCCCUCGCUCCCGACAGACCAGGAAUCUGACUCCACAGCUCCUCCCUUCCCAUCUUCCCUCUUUAUAACUGAUGUCCCUUGUAUCCCACCUAUGUCCCCUCUGCAGUUACUGUUCCCAUAAACACAGACACAGCCGCUCUGCAGGCACCUGUGACUCUCAGUCUGCGUGAACACCAGGAUGCAAUGCCCCUGGGAGCCGCCCUCAGCCAGUAACGACUGGGCGUCGAAAGAUAAAUAUCCAGGCUUCCUGGCCCUCUGGGUGGGCAUGUAAUCCCCCAGAACCCCCAAGCCCAGCUGACCUCAACAGUGACCCGCACAGAACGCAUCCUGCACUGGCUUCCUUCUCUCCCCGACCCACUUCCCCACCCCCAUCAGUGCUUUCUGGAAUCACCUCCCAAAUAAACCACUUG